rnacentral:rRNA from 1 species
AUACAGAGGGUGCGAGCGUUAAUCGGAAUUACUGGGCGUAAAGCGCGCGUAGGCGGCUUUGUAAGUCGGAUGUGAAAGCCCUGGGCUUAACCUGGGAAUGGCAUUCGAUACUGCAGAGCUAGAGUAUGGUAGAGGGAAGUGGAAUUUCCGGUGUAGCGGUGAAAUGCGUAGAUAUCGGAAGGAACACCAGUGGCGAAGGCGACUUCCUGGGCCAAUACUGACGCUGAGGAGCGAAAGCGUGGGGAGCAAACGGGAUUAGAAACCCCAGUAGUCC